rnacentral:rRNA from 1 species
GAUUGAACGCUGGCGGUAUGCUUAACACAUGCAAGUCGAACGGAAACGAUACUAGCUUGCUAGUAGGCGUCGAGUGGCGGACGGGUGAGUAACGCGUAGGAAUCUGCCUGAUGGUGGGGGAUAGCCCGAAGAAAUUCGGAUUAAUACCGCAUAAUCUAUUCGUAGUAAAGUGGGGGACUUUCGAGCCUCACGCUAUCAGAUGAGCCUGCGUAAGAUUAGCUAGUUGGUAGGGUAAAAGCCUACCAAGGCGACGAUCUUUAGCUGGUCUGAGAGGAUGAUCAGCCACAUCGGGACUGAGACACGGCCCGAACUCCUACGGGAGGCAGCAGUGGGGAAUAUUGGACAAUGGGGGCAACCCUGAUCCAGCAAUACCGCGUGUGUGAAGAAGGCCUGAGGGUUGUAAAGCACUUUCAAUUGUGAAGAAAAGCUAGUGGUUAAUAGCCAUUAGCCUUGACGUUAACUUUAGAAGAAGCACCGGCUAACUCCGUGCCAGCAGCCGCGGUAAUACGGAGGGUGCAAGCGUUAAUCGGAAUUACUGGGCGUAAAGCGUGCGUAGGCGGUUUAUUAAGUCAGAUGUGAAAGCCCCGGGCUUAACCUGGGAACUGCAUUUGAAACUGGUCAACUAGAGUAUGGUAGAGGAAAGUGGAAUUUCUGGUGUAGCGGUGAAAUGCGUAGAUAUCAGAAGGAACAUCAAUGGCGAAGGCAACUUUCUGGACCAAUACUGACGCUGAGGUACGAAAGCGUGGGUAGCAAACAGGAUUAGAUACCCUGGUAGUCCACGCCGUAAACGAUGAUAACUAGCCGUUGGGGGGAUUUACCCCUUAGUGGGCGAAGCUAACGCGUUAAGUUAUCCGCCUGGGGAGUACGGCCGCAAGGUUAAAACUCAAAGGAAUUGACGGGGACCCGCACAAGCGGUGGAGCAUGUGGUUUAAUUCGAUGCAACGCGAAGAACCUUACCUGGUCUUGACAUCCUGCGAACUUUCUAGAAAUAGAUUGGUGCCUUCGGGAACGCAGUGACAGGUGCUGCAUGGCUGUCGUCAGCUCGUGUCGUGAGAUGUUGGGUUAAGUCCCGUAACGAGCGCAACCCCUAUCCUUAUUUGCCAGCACAUCAUGGUGGGAACUAUAAGGAGACUGCCGGUGAUAAACCGGAGGAAGGCGGGGACGACGUCAAGUCAUCAUGGCCCUUACGACCAGGGCUACACACGUGCUACAAUGGGAAGGACAAAGAGCCGCGAAGCCGCGAGGUGUAGCUAAUCUCAGAAACCUUUUCGUAGUCCGGAUUGGAGUCUGCAACUCGACUCCAUGAAGUCGGAAUCGCUAGUAAUCGUAGAUCAGAAUGCUACGGUGAAUACAUUCCCGGGUCUUGUACACACCGC